rnacentral:rRNA from 1 species
GCCCCCAACAGCUAGCCCGCCUUUAAAAUACAUCAAUCACCAUUAUUAACCCCAAAACAACAAAACACAACAUAAACAAACCAUUUUUCCCCCCUAGUAUAGGAGACAGAAAAGGACUAUAGGCGCAAUAGAAAAAGUACCGUAAGGGAAAGCUGAAAGAGAACUGAAACAAACCAGUAAAGGGAUAGAAAGCAGAGAUUUAACCUCGUACCUUUUGCAUCAUGAUUUAGCUAGAAAACAUCAAGCGAAGAGCCCUUUAUGUUUGAUACCCCGAAACUAAGCGAGCUACUCCAAGACAGCCUAUUAUUAGGGCAAACCCGUCUCUGUGGCAAAAGAGUGGGAAGAGCUUUGAGUAGAGGUGACAAACCUACCGAGCCUAGUUAUAGCUGGUUGCCUGAGACUUGAAUAGAAGUUCAGCCUUUUAACUUUUUUAACCCAACAAGGUAACACCCGCCCCCGGAUAAAAGAAACUAAAAGAGUUAUUCAAAAGAGGAACAGCUCUCUUGAAAAAAGAUACAACUUUUGACAGCAGGUUAAAGAUCAUAAGCCUAUUAAGGUAUUGUACCCAAGUGGGCCUAAAAGCAGCCACCUUAGUAAAAAGCGUUAAAGCUCAAGUAUUACCCUACCAACAAUUACGGCAAACAAUCUCUUACACCCCUUAACCUAUUGGGCCUUUCCACGCAAACAUGGAAAAGAUACUGCUAACAUGAGUAAUAAGAGAGGACCGCCUCUCUCAAACGCAUCUGUGUAAAUCAGAACGAACUCUCACUGAAAAUUAACGUCCCCAAAAACAGAGGGUAUUGAAUAAAAACUUAAAACUAGAAAACCUGCCAAAAAUAAACGUUAGCCCUACACAGGAAUGCUAUAUGAAAGACAAAAAGAGAAAGAAGGAACUCGGCAAACAUUGGUCCCGCCUGUUUACCAAAAACACCGCCUCUUGCCUAUCCCCUUAUAAGAGGUCCCGCCUGCCCUGUGACAGUAUGUUUAACGGCCGCGGUAUUUUGACCGUGCGAAGGUAGCGUAAUCACUUGUUUUUUAAAUAAAGACCUGUAUGAAUGGCAUAACGAGGGCUAAGCUGUCUCCUUUCUCCAGUCAAUGAAAUUGAUCUGCCCGUGCAGAAGCGAGCAUAUGAACAUAAGACGAGAAGACCCUAUGGAGCUUUAGACGCCAGGAGAGACCAUGUAAAGAUACCUGAUAUAAAGGAAAAAACAGAAUGGCUGCUCCCCUUAUGUCUUUGGUUGGGGCGACCGCGGAGUAAUAACAAUCCUCCACGUGGAAUGGGGCCCACUCCCCCAAAACUAGAGCCACAGCUCUAACAAACAGAAGAUCUGACCCUCAAGACCCGGCAACGCCGAUCAACGGACCCAGUUACCCUAGGGAUAACAGCGCAAUCCUCUUUUAGAGCCCAUAUCGACAAGAGGGUUUACGACCUCGAUGUUGGAUCAGGACUCCCUAAUGGUGCAGCCGCUAUUAAGGGUUCGUUUGUUCAACGAUUAAAGUCCUACGUGAUCUGAGUUCAGACCGGAGAAAUCCAGGUCAGUUUCUAUCUAUGAAGCACCCUUUUCUAGUACGAAAGGACCGAAAAGGGGGGGCCUAUGCCUUAAGCAAGCCCCACCCUGACCUUAUGUUACCCACUAAAUAAGGUAAAAGGGAGUAACUCCUAUGCCUGAGAAAAAGGCUA